GAUGAACGCUGGCGGCGUGCCUAAUACAUGCAAGUCGAGCGAACGGACGAGAAGCUUGCUUCUCUGAUGUUAGCGGCGGACGGGUGAGUAACACGUGGAUAACCUACCUAUAAGACUGGGAUAACUUCGGGAAACCGGAGCUAAUACCGGAUGAUAUUUUGAACCACAUGGUUCAAAAGUGAAAGACGGUCUUGCUGUCACUUAUAGAUGGAUCCGCGCUGCAUUAGCUAGUUGGUAAGGUAACGGCUUACCAAGGCAACGAUGCAUAGCCGACCUGAGAGGGUGAUCGGCCACACUGGAACUGAGACACGGUCCAGACUCCUACGGGAGGCAGCAGUAGGGAAUCUUCCGCAAUGGGCGAAAGCCUGACGGAGCAACGCCGCGUGAGUGAUGAAGGUCUUCGGAUCGUAAAACUCUGUUAUUAGGGAAGAACAUAUGUGUAAGUAACUGUGCACAUCUUGACGGUACCUGAUCAGAAAGCCACGGCUAACUACGUG
rnacentral:rRNA from 1 species